UCACCUCACCGAAACUCCUUUCUCUUUUGGUUUCGGCUUUGGAUUUCUGUUUUAGAAAUGUAGGAACCUAAGAGAUGGUAAAGUUUCAUAUUCUUGGGUUGUAGGUGAAGAUUGGGUUUUGGAUUGUGAAAUUAGGGCCCAGAUGAACUCUAAGCUCGACUGAAACUGAGGCUGUUAGAUAUUGUUUUGCUUUAGUUGAGGUUUAGGUUUUUGAUUCUUGGAAAUGAGUACAUAACUAAUUAAGUACAUGUAUCGAGAAUUGUUUCGUGGUUUCUAAAUAGUACUUAGUGUGAUAGUCAGGUUCCGUUGUGAUUUGUGGGGAAUGGGGUGCUGAUCUGGGGUUGUCAGUGUUUUAUCAUUGUCAUCUUGUUCUACAAUAUACUGUAGCAUCUUGUUCUACAGAUGAGUUUUUGUUAAUGUAGUGACUGAAAUCUUGAAGUAGAUGAACAACUAAAAUUUGGUGGUAGCAGCCAAUCAAAAAUUGGAAUUUGAAUAAUGUUUUGAAAGAGAAUUUAGAAGAUGCUGGUAUAUAGAAUUCUCAGAAAGCGAUGAUGCUCUAACCUGGAUGUCGUACCCAUUAUACCCUGCGGUUAAGAUCAUCUGGAGGACGGACUUUGCUCCCUAGUUGUUGUACUUUUCAUUUGAAGAUAAAAUCUUUUGCCAUCACAAAUGCUUUCAAUAUCUACAACAAGCUACCAGUGUCAGAAACUUUAAUACUAGAAAUGGUUUUACUUUUGGGUAGUGCUGUUCGCAUUCUCUAUUACUCCUCACACUCCCUUUCAUUUUUACUAAUUUUCAAUGUUGUGUAUGUUUUUCAUUCUUUUCAUUUCAAAACUACACGGACCCCUUACUAUCAUCACUACUGCUUUCCCAACGUUUGAAGUCCAGAACCAUCUACCUCUCCACCUAAGCUGGUGUACUCCACAAUGCCCGGUUACCCAAACCCUCAAAGCAGCGGAGUCUUCUCCUUCCCACGCUGCUCACAGACCCCAGCACUGAUAACGACUAAUGUUAACAGUUACGGUGCUCUUGCAGCUCCUUAGCGGCCAUUCGUCCGACCUGAAUCGGGUGGCUCACACAUAACCCCAUUCAGCGGCCGGCAGGUGCAUAAAAGGAACCAUGCCAGGCAUUGUAGUGGAAUGUCAUGGAUGAAUGGGCAACUUUGAAAGACAUUAUUGACAAUUGAAAUAUUGAUUAGGCAACUAGUCUGUAUCCAUGAUUUCCAGAAAGACUUGGAAUUGGGUUUUUUUGGGACCUUAUCUGUUUGAAAAGUUACUUUUGGUUUUGCGAGUUUGGUGUAGGAUGAUUGAUUUUUAAGGAUUGGAGUGGGACUGUUUUGAGCUGGUAAUGCUGUAUGACUUAUCAGACUGAGAAUUUUGGAUGUCAAAAGAUGAAACACUUUGGAGCUAAAACUGAAUCUCAACUCAUUCAGGGGUGAGGUGUGAAGAGAUAUUUUAAGGAUGAGCUUUAGAAACCCAUAUGAUCAAAUAAGAAACCAUUUAUCAAUUCAUGAUGAGUUUCGAUGCCCUGUUUAUGUAAAGGACGUCGUACCAAUCAUCCUUGCUUUGUCCAAGACAUGGAUAUCAGGCUAAGCAUAGAAAAUCGCUACUGAAUGUUGGUGGACCAGACAGGUUAUCCCGUGUUCAAAUGGCUGAGACGGUUGCUGAUAUAAGGGGAUACAACCUCUCAUUAAUUAAAUCUGUAUCUGCAUCAUCGGUUGAUCAUGGAGUUGUGUCUCCUGCUGACAUAUCCAUGGAUAUAUCUAAGCUAGUUCAGACGCUUGGUAUUUCUCCAAUUUCAUUUGGAAAUGGUGUCAGAUUGACGCUUGAAUUGUGACCGGUGACCAAGUCUUGAUGCCAUGAAGGUCUUGUAAAUUGCUUCAUUAUCGUAAUAGCGAGGAAUACUCAUCAUUUUCACCGAUACUUAUUGAUUGGCGUAAAAAUGUUGUUAAAAAGUGUGUUCUAGAGAGACUUAUCUUUUAUCCCAA